rnacentral:rRNA from 1 species
GUCUACGGCCAUGCCACCCUGAAGAAGCCUGAAUCCGUCUGAUCUUGAAGCCAAGCAGGGUCGGGCCUGGUUAUUACUUGGAUGAGAGACCACCUAGGAAGACCAGGUGCUGUAGGCA